GCGCUAUUGCUCCAGCCCAUAUAAUAAAAUUGAAACAAUACAAAGCAGAUCAGCAUGGCUCCUGCAUAAGGAUGACAUGCUCUUAACUUAUAGUUAAGUAUGGUGCUU
ensembl:snRNA U6 U6 spliceosomal RNA